GACGGGGGAGACGCGUCAUACGGGCUGGGACCGGGUUCGCGGUGCUCAUAACCCGGAGGUCGCAGGUUCAAAUCCUGCCCCCGCUACCA
rnacentral:tRNA from 1 species